rnacentral:rRNA from 1 species
UACGGGGGGGGCAAGCGUUGUUCGGAAUUACUGGGCGUAAAGGGUGCGUAGGCGGUCCGCUAAGUUGGAUGUGAAAACUCUGGGCUUAACCCAGAGCCUGCAUUCAAAACUGACGGGCUAGAGUUCUGGAGGGGGUAGCGGAAUUCCUGGUGUAGCGGUGAAAUGCGUAGAUAUCAGGAGGAACACCGGUGGCGAAGGCGGCUACCUGGACAGAAACUGACGCUGAGGCACGAAAGCUAGGGGAGCAAACGGG